CAAACGGGUGUUGACAUGUGUUUGGUCUUCAGGGAAGAGGCGAGCCAUACCAAAAUCAGCAAUCUUAGGAACCCACUUAUCAUCAAGUAAAAUAUUGCUGGCCUUGAUGUCACGGUGGAUGAUGCAACUGUGUGAGUCCUCAUGAAGGUAAAGCAAUCCCCGCGCAACACCAGUUAUUAUAUCAUACCUCCGCUUCCAAUUGAGCUGCUCUCUCCUAUCGGAUUCUGAAUCAAAAUAAUCUGUGUAAUCUUUUUGUUGGGAAGAUUAGAAAUAUAGAUUCCUAAUUAAAAAAAUUUUAAAAAUAAAAAAAAGGUAUGAUGAUUGAUGACCAUCAUAUCACUUCUUAGUUUUUAGUUUAUCAACUUUAGUGGUAAGAGACAGGUUGAAAACUAGAGGGAUUUUUGAACAUUCCAGCUUUCUUUCCACUCUCAGCAUCCACAAUUUUGUUAGAACUGGUCAAAUGAGUGCUUGGCAUACAAAUUAAGAAAUGAGAUUUAGAGAAAGAAUAGUCAAGACCUCAUGAACUUUCUCCCUCAUGAGGUUUUAAUUUAGCUAGUGAGUGCUUUCUUUACAAGAAAGAAAAAUUUGUCCGGCAUUGAACCAGAAUGUUGGUACCAAAGGUUGUGGAAGCAAACCACCUGUAUUUUAUUCUAAGGUCAGAGAUCAUGACCCACAUAACUAGAAAGAUAAAAAAGGCGAGCUGGGAUAAACAUCUUCAAGAAAUAAUUAAGAAAAACUAGAACAAAAUGUUGAAUUAUCUUGUGUUUCAAGAAACAAAAUUUUAACUUGUGCCACUAUUGCUAGUUUAUUGUUAACAAAAUUUAAAUCAUAAAUGUGUCAAAAAAAAAAAUUGUAGCAUAGGUGUUUCAAUACACAAGUUUGCUAUUAUUUCAUCAAAAGAAAGCUUGCAGACUACAGAAUCAUUACUAAAUAUUUUCUUCACCACGUAAAAAUAGAACAAACAACUACUGAAAAAAUUGUUUCAUCAAAAAAUUGUCUCCAUCAUUUAUAAAUACCAAUUUCAAGACUCUUAAUAUCAAUCAUCUGCAACCACCUGUAACUUAGAUGAUUGUUUACAAAUAACUGUAUUCUAGACUUCAUAUCAACAUCUAAAUGCUUAUUGAUGUAAAUUGUUUAGUCAUCUACGCCAAGCAAUUUGCAUUACAUUCAUCAUGUACAGAAAUUCUCUAAAAAAGAGUUUGAAAGUAAAUAAAAAAAAAUAUUGUUUUAAUCCACUCAGGUUAAUCAAACCAAAUUGAUAGAGAAAUGAAUUCAUAUAUUAUGGCAUUUCGGAAAAAAAAAACUAAAAUAAUAAUAUCAUAAAUUUGGUAAAGCGAUCAACAAGACAGAAAAACAUUUCUGAAAUUCUACGGUUCACUAAUACCAGACAUAUAAGUUAUAAAAUACAACAUUAUAUGUUGGGAAAUUCAGAUUGCAUGGCUUUUAUUAACAUGAGCCUAAAAGAAACCAUUUGAUAGUAUAAAUUACAAACAACUAUAAAGGGGCUUGUUCCUAUUCCUAAUUUGCUGGCAAAUAAAAAGCACCCAAGCUCCUUCAAGAAGUUCAAAGAUUAGCAGAAAUAUAAACUAGUACAUUGCAACCGAAUAACUGAACUUGGAACUUAAAAUUGUUGGUGUGAUGUGAUUGAACUUCAUUCCAUUACUUAUCCCAUUAGCUAAUACCGGUCAAAAACAUAAAUCAACAGAAAAGGUGCUUUUACUUACUGAAGAGAAACUUGUCAAGACUCUCAUUAGCGACAUAUUCAUAAACCAAUAGCUUCUCUGUUCCAUAUGCACAAUAUCCUAACAAAUUUACAACAUUCCGGUGCUGGACGCGUGCUAAGAGCUUAGCCUCAUUCAUGAACUCUUUCUUCCCUUGAUUUGAGCCAAGGGACAACUUCUUCACGGCAAUUUCUCUCCCAUCGGCCAACUUCCCCCUAAAGACAGGUCCAAAUCCACCUUCACCAAGUUUGUGAGUUGGGUGAAAAUCUUUGGUGGCAGAGACUAACGUCUCAAAUGCAAACUGCUUCUGUUCCUGAGCAGCAAUCUGGUCCAAGUCCUCUUCACUUUGGCCCUCUCUGCUAGAACUCAACUUGAAGGACUUCAACAGAUUCUGAAAGAAAUUCAUGGACUUUGGCAUGGCUUUCAAGAAUUGAUAAAAACCAGUCCCAUGAGAAAGCAAUUGAAAAUCUGAGCUCUAAAUUUCAGGAGAAAAUUUUCUGAUCUUGAUUUGUGGUAAAUUUUUUGAGUUCCAGGGAAUUGGUGAGGAAUUGGGAGGAAGACAGAGUAAAAUGCUUCUGAGAAUUUCUUUAAUUUUCUGAUAAUUUUGAAGUUGUUUUCGUACUUUUUUUUGGUUUAUAAAUAAGAACGGA
rnacentral:misc_RNA from 1 species